rnacentral:tRNA from 1 species
GGGCGUGUAGUUCAGUGGUAGAACGCUGUCCUGAUAAGACAGAGGUCGUAGGUCCGAUUCCUACCACGCCCACCA